rnacentral:rRNA from 1 species
AAUAGAUACCCUGGUAGUCCACGCCGUAAACGAUGAGUGCUAAGUGUUAGGGGGUUUCCGCCCCUUAGUGCUGCAGCUAACGCAUUAAGCACUCCGCCUGGGGAGUACGGCCGCAAGGCUGAAACUCAAAGGAAUUGACGGGGGCCCGCACAAGCGGUGGAGCAUGUGGUUUAAUUCGAAGCAACGCGAAGAACCUUACCAGGUCUUGACAUCCUCUGACAACUCUAGAGAUAGAGCGUUCCCCUUCGGGGGACAGAGUGACAGGUGGUGCAUGGUUGUCGUCAGCUCGUGUCGUGAGAUGUUGGGUUAAGUCCCGCAACGAGCGCAACCCUUGAUCUUAGUUGCCAGCAUUCAGUUGGGCACUCUAAGGUGACUGCCGGUGACAAACCGGAGGAAGGUGGGGAUGACGUCAAAUCAUCAUGCCCCUUAUGACCUGGGCUACACACGUGCUACAAUGGACGGUACAAAAGAGUCGCAAAGACCGCGAGGUGGAGCUAAAUCUCAUAAAAACCGUUCUCAGUUCGGAUUGCAGG